CGGCCUUUGUUGGAAAAUAUGCAGGUAAUCCCCCCCCCCCCCCCCCCCUCCCUUCCACAUGGUAACACCACACUUUUUCUUCAUUUUUUUUUAUCAUGUUACUUGUUGUUUCCCUAUUUGCCUAGAUUCCUGGAAAGGAGAAUAUUAAUUUGAUCAUUCAAAUUUCUUGUUUAUCUACCAUCAUUCCCUGUUUCUCACAUACCCAUUUGUUAAAGAUUGGAUUUUGUUUCCUUCUUUGUGUUGAUUUGGUUCUCUUCAUAACUCGAUUCCUUGAUGGGUUUUGUCUUCCUGAACAAAUACCCAUAUGGUAAUUGGCAGUAACUAAAUUUGAUCAUUUACUUUAUUUGUAAGAUGCUCUUGGAGACCCUUCUGUCAUUAGGGAAUUUUUUUUUCCUAUGCAUAUAGAGUGUUUUGGAAUUAAAUUCUUUUGAAAAUACAAUAUCAGAGUUGAUAUUAAAAUGGCGUUGGAGGAUGGCAAGGAGCCUGGUAUUACUAUUAGAUUGAUUCAGAAUAGGCCUCUGCCAUUGAGACUCCUUCAAUUUUUCUUGUUGUUUUUGGUUCUGGGUCUUGGGGUUUCCAUAAUUAGUAUGUAUACGUUUCGAUAUUUUGGAAUCCAAAAUGUAACUGGUGUAGGAAGGUCCAAUAUAUUUCUCCCUUGCUUUGAAGCACCAAAUGAUUUAGAGAACUGGAUUAGGCCUCCAUCAAACCUGUUGCAUAAGAUGAAUGAUACAGAGUUGUUUUGGCGUGCCUCAUUUGUUCCUCGAAUAAAGGAAUAUCCAUAUAGGAGAGUUCCGAAGAUUGCCUUCAUGUUCUUGACAAAGGGACCAUUGCCAUUGGCACCUCUCUGGGAGAGGUUUUUCAAGGGCCAUGAGGGGCUUUAUUCGAUCUAUGUUCAUUCAUUGCCUUCUUAUGCUGGAAACUAUACGCCAUCAUCAGUGUUCUACAAGAGACAAAUCCCAAGUCAGGUAUUGGCAUUUUUCUUUUUCUCUUCUUAAUAUAUCUAUUGGCAUUGUGCUCUAUUUGUUUUAUUGGGGGUGAAUGCUAUUUUACUUAAGUUCUUUCUGGAUUCAGGUGAUAGUAUUCAACUUUUUUUCUCUCUUAAGAAAUGUUAGAUAUUUCCAUAAUUUGUGAAUGAAAUGCUGCUCUGAUUAAAAUUUUUUAACUUGUGGGAACACUGUCAAUUAUUUGCUUUGGAAGAUAUAAUCAAUCUCAUUAUCUGGCAUAGCCGUUUUCAGAUGGACUCGUAGAAUUAUCAGUUUUGAUUUAUUGCAUUUUUGUGCGAUAUGCUUUUUUCAAGGGUAAGUCUUAGUUUCCCUUGUGAUACAGUUGAAAGUUGAAUCAUUUAGUUUAUGUGGCUUUACUUGUAAAACCUUCAUUUCUGGAAGUCUUUAUGGUAGGUUAUUGAAUUGAUGUCCUGUAUCAUUAAGACUAGCUUACUCAUCUGACCCCUUAUUUUUCUCCAUUUUUAAGAUCUCUUUUUUAGUUCUGUUUAUCGUAAUUUUGUUGGUAUGACUCGAAGUAAAUAAAUGGAAAACAGAGCAUGGUAUCAAAAUAAAUAUUGAUUUGUCCAUGAACCUGGUCUCAAGAGAAAUCAGCAUUCCCUUUAGUGUACCUAGAAGGUAGUAAGCAAAUAAUAUCUCUAUUCUGAAGUUGUAGGCUAUUAUUAGAUGGUAUCUGAUGGCAAAAAGUCAAAGAUAUUGUUCAUCUCUAGCCUGAAUGGUUGGUCAUUUAGCUAUUCUUCAUGUCAUUGGGCGUUUUGGUUGAUUUAGUUGGAAGGGCUGGCAACAGAGUUUGUUAGAAAAUAUAGCAAUUGAUUUAAGCAAUGUUGAGAAAGUUUUCAAGGGUCUUGGAAUAGAUGAUGAAGCAUCGAGCUGUGGUUGUAACUGGCUUAAUGCUAAACAAGAGUGCUUCGUCUACCAAGAAAAGGGUUUUAUUGCUGACUCUAUUAGAUUGGAUCACUACUGUAGUUUACCUAUAACACUGAAAUAAAGUUUGCAUUAGCUUGUUAAGUAUCCUAUCUUGUUCAUCAUCAGAGAGACACUGCAAAACAUCAGUGACAAAGGGUUGAUAGUGAUUAUGAAGUAAGCAGAACCAUGAUCAUCAUGUAUAUUACUGUACACUCUAUGAUGUAUCCUUGAAACUUUGACUUCAUGCUUACAUGUUUCAAUAAUGAGUGUAGUACAUUUUAAUUUACACUUGCUUGCACAGUUAUUUAAAAGAAAUUUAAUUGUACCAUGAAUGUAUUUGUAUAGUUUGAGAUUUACUAUUAAGAUUAGUUUGUGAUCUCAGUGGUAUGCAGUACAAAAUCCAUAUUCCAAAUUUUUGAAGAGUAAGUUUGAGUUUUUUGCCCCUGGUGUCCUUCACUUAUGAGUUUCUUUGUUCCUCUUAUGCCAUUCACUUAGGAACAAACAUCUGCAGCAUAACAUGUAGCAUGUAGAUAAGAAUAGUUGAAUGUAUUUGUCAAAUUCGUUCUUGAGUACCCGUAAUUAUGACAUAUGGUGAAAGUUGUAAAUUCGAAAUGAUUAACUUUCAUUUUUUAAUAGGAGUUGGAAAGGACUUGUUUUUAUAUUUAUUUUGGAUGGCAAUACCAUUGAACCACCUUUAAACAUGGUUUAUAGCUUUGGUUGAUCAUUUGUGGUAAUUUAUUGAUAACUAACAGAUGUGUAAGCUUCAGUAUGUGCACUUGUCAAUUCCAUACUAAUAAUUUUGUGACUUUGUUGUUCAACAAUGAUAGCAUACUGGCUGUGACUGUCUGUUAAUUCCCUUGAAAAAUUGUGCAAUGUACAGGGAAGGCCAUUACACAAUCAUAAAUGCGUGUGAUAUCUGUUUCAACUUCCAAAUAAGAAAUAAAUUUUGCAAAGUCUGCCAAUGUCACUCAUUUUCAUUUUUGCCCUCCAAAAUCACUUUGUCACAGCUGAUUCAAUCAUCUCUGAUGGUUAUCUAUUGAGCACGUUUUCAUACUGUCGAAAAGGUUUUAUUUCAAAUUCAUAGUCUGUCCGCAGAGAGAAAAAUGGAUGAGAAGGCAAAUUGAGUUCAUGAAUCAUGAUAUAUUUGCUGACACAGAUUAGGCAGUGGUUCUAGUGAUUGGAAUGGACAAGAAUGGUAGCUUCUGCAGAAUGAAUGCCAUGCUACAAGCUCAUAGAAUAUAUCUAAUAAUCUCUGUAGUUUCCCCUUUUAAUGUGCUUUGGACCCAUGAUUCUCAAAGCCUUAUAAUGCGUCACUUUAAUUUAUUUUCUGCUUGCUGGAUUGCUUACUGAUAUUUCCUUCGUUUCCUUUAAAGAUAAAAAAUUUUGGAGAGUUCUCUGGAUCGAACUUAUAUUCUCUACCCAAAACCCCCACUCCUUACCACUUGAGCUAUCCCCAUUUUUGUUGCCACUCAUUCAGCACUUGAAUUUGUGUAAAGAUGUGUUCCACGUAUACUGAAUGAAAGAGAUCUUUUUUUUUAUCAAAUUCAGAAACUAGGUAAUACCAACUUUCUCUCUUCUAUAGUAGAAACACAGAAAAUACCAUCCUUUUUAGUAAAUAAUGGAAGCAGUUCUUUAAUCCUGUUUCAUAGGAAAUGAAGACUGGUUAGCACAUGCAAACUUUAGCCAUUUUUCUGAACUGUCUUCCUUAAUAGUGCUAAUAGAAUGCAAUGUGUUAGUGCCUUCUCAACCUGCUGCCUUAUGCAUGAACAUAUUUGUGUAUUCUCUUAUUUGAAAUUAUUAUCAUUCCUGUUUAUUCUGUGCAGGUCGUAGAGUGGGGAAGGAUGAGUAUGUGUGAUGCUGAGAGGAGACUCCUAGCAAAUGCACUGCUUGAUAUUUCCAAUGAAUGGUUCAUCCUAGUGUCUGAGGCAUGCAUUCCUCUCCACAAUUUUAGCAUUAUCUAUCGCUACAUAUCAAGAUCACGGUACAGUUUUAUGGGAUCAUUUGAUGAAGAUGGUCCAUAUGGUAGAGGCCGAUAUAAUUGGAACAUGCAGCCUGAGGUUACACUUGCACAGUGGCGUAAAGGGUCUCAAUGGUUUGAAGUGAAUCGAAGACUUGCAGUUAAUAUAAUUGAGGACACCACAUACUACCCUAAGUUCAGAGACUUUUGCCAGCCAGCAUGUUAUGUGGAUGAGCACUACUUCCCUACGAUGUUGAGCAUCCAAGCUCCACCUCUCUUGGCGAAUAGGACGCUUACCUGGACAGAUUGGUCUAGGGGAGGUGCACACCCAGCAACAUUUGGAAAGGCUGACAUUACAGAGCAGUUCUUCAAGAAGAUGUUUGAAGGGCAGUCAUGCACCUAUAAUAAUCAACCAACAACUGUGUGCUAUCUCUUUGCAAGGAAGUUCGCCCCAAGCGCUUUAGAUCCUCUAUUAAGUUUAGCGUCUAAAGUUUUUGGAUUUUGAUAUAGGCAUGGUUGGUUGUACACAUAGUUUGAGAAAGUUUUACCUAGGUAUGCGAGUUUAGUUGCCAAGCUAGCCCGCACUCUAUCUUAGAUAUGGGUGUUCUAUUUCAAAUGAGUUUAUAUUACAUUUUAAUCAUUGAUAUCAAACCAUUUCAGAUGUAUAGUUAUUCUGAUCCUAAAUUACAGUUUUUAAACAUCUUUGUUUAAUAAUAUCAUAUUUCUCACCU
rnacentral:misc_RNA from 1 species